rnacentral:rRNA from 1 species
ACUAUCAUAAAUAUAAUAAUUCAAAGACCACCAACAAAAUAAAUUUGACGGUAUUAACUUUUACAAAGGAAUUUGUUUCUUAAUCGACAACACACGUUACAUCUUACUUAAUAUCUAUCUGUAUACCACCGUUACUAGAAAUUAUUUUUAAACAAACCUCAUAAUAGACUAAAUCUAGAAAAUCAGGCCAAGGUGCAAUUUUAUUAAGCAGAAAUGAAUUACAUUAAUUUCAUAUUUACUCAUAAUAACUGAAACUUUAUUAAAAAUAGAAUUUGUUAGUAAAAUUUUAUCAUCAUGAUAAUUUGAAAACUAUCAUUAAUAUGU